rnacentral:rRNA from 1 species
GACGAAAGCUGGCGGCGUGCCUAAUACAUGCAAGUAGAACGCAGUUGCGAACGGGUGAGUAACGCGUAGGUAACUGCCUGGUAGCGGGGGAUAACUAUUGGAAACGAUAGCUAAUACCGCAUACUACCAGAUGGACCUGCGUUGUAUUAGCCAGUGGGUGGGGUAACGGCUCACCAAGGCAACGAUACAUAGCCGACCUGUGGUGGUGAUAGGGCACACUUGGACUGAGACACGGGCCAGACUCCUACGGGAGGCAGCAGUAGGGAAUCUUCGGCAAUUGGGGGAACCCUGACCGAGCAACGCCGCGUGAGUGAAGAAGGUUUUCAGAUCGUAAAGCUCUGUUGUUGAGGAAGCGGUACUUAACCAGAAAGGGACGGCUAACUACGUGCCAGCAGCCGCGGUAAUAC